AAGCAGCGGUAGCAACACAGGUACACAGAAAAAGCACUGGGAACUUUUGAAUUUCAUUUCCUGUUUGGUCAGCAUG